AAAUAAACGUUUAAAAAAAAAAAAAAAAGAUGGUGAAAGACCUAAAUGUGCGAAAGGAAACCAUCAAAAUCCUAGAGGAGAACACGGGCACCAACUUCUUUGACUUUGGCCAUAGCUACUUCUUAUUAGACACAUCUCCAUAGGCAAGGGAAACAAAAGCAAAAAUGAACUGUUGGGACUUCUUCAAGAUAAGAAAUAAAAUACCCCCACCACCC